rnacentral:rRNA from 1 species
GACGGAGGGUGCUAGCGUUGUUCGGAAUCACUGGGCGUAAAGGGCGCGUAGGCGGCCUUGCAAGUCGGUUGGUGAAAGCCCGGGGUUCAACCCCGGAGGUGCGGCCGAGACUGCAGGGCUGGAGGCCGGAAGAGGAGGGUGGAAUACCCAGUGUAGAGGUGAAAUUCGUAGAUAUUGGGUGGAACACCGGUGGCGAAAGCGGCUCUCUGGUCCGGACCUGACGCUGAGGCGCGAAAGCGUGGGGAGCAAACAGG